rfam:Triticum aestivum genome assembly, contig: Triticum_aestivum_CS42_TGACv1_scaffold_514350_6BS
AUUCUACUCCCUCCGUUGCACAAUACAUGCCUUCUAUUUGUCAAAAUAUAUAUGUAUCUAGACAUGUUUUAGUAUAUAGGUACAUCCAUUUUUGGACAAAUGGAAGUCAAGUAUUUUGGAACGGAGGAAGUACACA